rnacentral:rRNA from 1 species
GUACACUCCUACGGGAGGCAGCAGUGGGGAAUAUUGGACAAUGGGCGCAAGCCUGAUCCAGCCAUGCCGCGUGAGUGAUGAAGGCCCUAGGGUUGUAAAGCUCUUUCACCGGUGAAGAUAAUGACGGUAACCGGAGAAGAAGCCCCGGCUAACUUCGUGCCAGCAGCCGCGGUAAUACGAAGGGGGCUAGCGUUGUUCGGAUUUACUGGGCGUAAAGCGCACGUAGGCGGACUAUUAAGUCAGGGGUGAAAUCCCGGGGCUCAACCCCGGAACUGCCUUUGAUACUGGUAGUCUUGAGUUCGAGAGAGGUGAGUGGAAUUCCGAGUGUAGAGGUGAAAUUCGUAGAUAUUCGGAGGAACACCAGUGGCGAAGGCGGCUCACUGGCUCGAUACUGACGCUGAGGUGCGAAAGCGUGGGGAGCAAACAGGAUUAGAAACCCCGGUAGUCCCAUGA